AAGAGAUAAAGGCAAAAUCAUCGAAAGAUGAUGACGCAAAGCCACGAGUCUAAGUCUAUAUGAAAAGAUAUGAUCGUCGGGUUGCCUAU
rnacentral:ncRNA from 1 species